rnacentral:rRNA from 1 species
CAGUUCGGAUUGUAGGCUGCAACUCGCCUACAUGAAGUCGGAGUUGCUAGUAAUCGCGGAUCAGAAUGCCGCGGUGAAUGCGUUCCCGGGUCUUGUACACACCGCCCGUCACACCAUGGAAGUUGGGGGCGCCCGAAGCCGGUGACCCAACCCGGAAAGGGAGGGAGCCGUCGAAGGCAGGUCGGAUGACUGGGGUGAAGUCGUAACAAGGUAGC